UACGGAGGGGGCUAGCGUUGUUCGGAAUCACUGGGCGUAGAGGGUGCGUAGGCGGGUUUCUAAGUCAGAGGUGAAAGCCUGGAGCUCAACUCCAGAACUGCCUUUGAUACUGGAAGUCUUGAGUUCGGGAGAGGUGAGUGGAACUGCGAGUGUAGAGGUGAAAUUCGUAGAUAUUCGCAAGAACACCAGUGGCGAAGGCGGCUCACUGGCCCGAUACUGACGCUGAGGCACGAAAGCGUGGGGAGCAAACAGG
rnacentral:rRNA from 1 species